GUACCAAAGGGGUGUUUUCGAAAUCCCCAAAGAAAGGUACCAAAAUAAACCCCAAAAGAGCAACCAAAAUAACCAGUUGAGUCACCGUCACAACGGUGAACAAAAGCAAGCCAAAACAAAUUCAAAUUAUAGCAAGUUAAGGAAUUUUGGAGUUGACCAAGCAAAGCAAAAUUCAAAUUUAAACCAAAUUAAAUUAUCCAACACCAUCCAGUCAUAACCAACAAAUAAAAAAAACAACCAACCAAAAAAGCCCCCGUUGUAAACCAAAAACAGACAAUGGAGUAUGUGGAGGGAAGGGAGAGAGAAGGCAGAGAGAAACAAAGACACUACUCAGACUAAAGAGAACAGCUUGAGGAGACAAACAGGGAGAUGAACCAUUUGACAGGAAGGAAGGAGACUUACCUCCCCAAGACGUGGGGGCAGCUGAUGGUCCUGAGGGACCCGAGGAGGACAGUGGAUCCAGGUCCAACAAGGAACUGGAGAAGGAGGCAGAAACAGAGAGCGAUCGACAGUCAGUUCAUCAUCCUUUGCAGAAGCUUUCCUUGCCCAAAUGGGACAAAAGUUUUCUACAAACUGGGUUGAACAGUGGCUUCUUGCAGCAGAUACUGUGAUAUAGUUCUUACCGUGAGAGCCGGUUUUGUCGAUAAAGUUGCUGAGGUUGAACAGGGAGGUCCUGGAAGCCAAGUACUGAAUGAACCUCUGAGGAAGAGAAAGGGAAACACAAUAAAC